rnacentral:rRNA from 1 species
CCGACGGGUGAGUAACACGUAUCCAACCUGCCGUCUACUCUUGCCAGCCUUCUGAAAGGAAGAUUAAUCCAGGAUGGCAUCAUGAGUUCACAUGUCCGCAUGAUUAAAGGUAUUCCGGUAGACGAUGGGGAUGCGUUCCAUUAGAUAGUAGGCGGGGUAACGGCCCACCUAGUCUUCGAUGGAUAGGGGUUCUGAGAGGAAGGUCCCCCACAUUGGAACUGAGACACGGUCCAA